CUUGAUCGAGCCCAGCACCAGAGGCUGGUCGGCGGGCCGGCCGGCGCCAUAGACCGCCUGCAGCGCCUGCACCUC
rnacentral:antisense_RNA from 1 species